UUUCAGUCCACUCUAAAAUGGAUCUUAGACUAUCUCAAGCUGUGCACUGCAGCGAGGAGUUUGGAACUGAGAGAAAGAGCGAUGAACAUGUAUCAGAAGAGAAAAUCAGCUGCUGUUUGGUGCCUUGUCCUUGUUCUCCCCUCUCGUUUGCUGAUGGCUGAUAACACCUUAUCUCCACCAGGGAAGCAACUGGGAAGUUUGCUCCUUCCUCACAAGACUGAGGGUAUAAUUAGAACCACGCACCUGCUCAGUCCUCCAGUGACUCAGUUAGUCUACAUCCAUGUCAAAAUCCAUGCUGUGAGGGUAAUUUGAUCAUCUCACUUACUUUUUUCAUAUGCUUUAUAUGAAUAAACCACCAGAACAAGCCUC